GAGACGAUCCACUGGAAGGGCCUGGCUUGCGUCCAGAGUCGCCUCCGCCUCCCCUCCCCCGUGUCCGGGCCCCCCGCCCCACCGGGGGCCCGCUGAUUCCUCCCGCUCCGAACCCCCGCGGGGUUGGACCCGCCGCCCUCUGACCAGCCCCCGAUGGGAAGAAGGAGAAGGAAAGAGGUGGUGAUGACGCGGGGGGACGAUGUGGCCUCGCGGGGAAGAGGGGAGG
rnacentral:lncRNA from 1 species